UACAGAGGUCUCGAGCGUUGUUCGGAUUCAUUGGGCGUAAAGGGUGCGUAGGCGGCGGGGUAAGUCUGAUGUGAAAUCCCGGGGCUCAACCCUGGAACUGCAUUGGAUACUGCCUUGCUUGAGAGCUGGAGAGGAAACUGGAAUUUACGGUGUAGCAGUGAAAUGCGCAGAUAUCAGGAGGAACACCGGUGGCGAAGGCGGGUCUCUGGGCCGAUACUGACGCUGAGGAGCGAAAGCGUGGGGAGCGAACAGG
rnacentral:rRNA from 1 species